GGUUCGAUGGUGUAGUUGGUUGGUUAUUGCAUCUGUCUAACAUAUAUAUAUAUAUAGAGUGGACACAGAAGGUCCCCGGUUCGAGCCCGGGUCGAAUCA